CUUACACACACUCACACACACACUCACAUACACACACACAGAAGAUCAAGACAGCUCAGCACACACACACACACACUCACACACACAUCCACAUAAAUGUACAUUCAGACUUACAGACACUCACACACACACUCACACUCACACACACACAUCCACAUAAAUGUACAUUCACACUUACAGACACUCACACACACACUCACAUACACACACACA
rnacentral:lncRNA from 1 species